rnacentral:ncRNA from 1 species
CGACGUGCGGCGGGAGAGUCCCGCUCAGCAGUUGUGGAGCGGGCGCCGUAGGAGCAAUUCCUCCCCGGGAAACUCUCAGGCCCCCGUACCGCCGCACCGAG